rnacentral:lncRNA from 1 species
CUUCUUUUAUUUGUUGACCUCUCUUCUUUUCUUUUUUUCAGAUUCCAUAGAGGUUGCUCAUCUUAUUUACUGGUUCAGUUGAAGAGGUCAAUGUCAACAAAGCCACCAUCGAAUCGAGCUCUUUCCUAAACAGAAACAAUCAUCAAAGUUAGGUGAUGAGAUUAAUUACACAAGGAAGAGUUAUUUGGCAUUGCCAUUAGUUCUAAACCAAUGGAUUUGGUAUGAUUUCCCCCUGGUUAUCGACUGAACCGAGUAUAACCCUUAAAACAGAGUUUAAGUUGUCAAUUAUACCCUUAACCCUAACUUACUGGUGUGAGUUCUGAUAACAUGAGCUGUUGCUUUGUUUUUGGUUGCUAUGUGUGUGUAUUCAAAACGUGGUUUUGUUCGUCGCAUCUCAUGAUCGAGGAGGCUACAAAAGAACUCAAAGUUAAUGGAUAGUGCGCUUGAACUGCGCUAGGUUCUUCAAGGAUCCGGUAUAGAAAAAGCUUACAAAGGCAGAUAGUGUUUUUUUUAUAUAUCGUUGCAGUACUAGCUAACUUUAUGUAGUAGACUCAUCUGAGAAGUGCUCGAAGAGUUUACAAAAGGUACUUUCAGGUUAUAGGUCACUAUUAUGUGUCUCUGAUUGAUUUGUCAUGAGAGCUCAAUCAUAGGAUCUUACUGAAAGUGUUGGUCUUUGUGAUGAAUCAUAAACAACACUUUUUAGGUUUGAAUUGAUACAAACUUCAAAACAGAAAAGCUUACUGGUCAUGGUGUAUAUAAUUUGCAUUCAAGUCAGUUUCUUUAGUCUUCUUUGUGUGCUUUGAUGGAUUCGCUAGCUGUUGAAUGCUAUGAAAAAUUCUUUCUCUGUUCUACUUCUGUGGGAUCAAUUUUGAGGUCAUCCACCG